rnacentral:rRNA from 1 species
GACGAACGCUGGCGGCGUGCUUAACACAUGCAAGUCGAACGGAAAGGCCUGCUUUCCCUUGUGGAUUGCGGGUACUCGAGUGGCGAACGGGUGAGUAACACGUGAGUGAUCUGCCCCCAACUUGGGUAUAAGCCUGGGAAACUGGGUCUAAUUCCCGAUAGGACUGCAGGGUGGUGCCUGUGGUGGAAAACGAUUUUCUAGUGGUUGGGGAUGAGCUCGCGGCCUAUCAGCUUGUUGGUGGGGUAAUGGCCUACCAAGGCGGCGACGGGUAGCCGGCCUGAGAGGGUGGACGGCCACAUUGGGACUGAGAUACGGCCCAGACUCCUACGGGAGGCAGCAGUGGGGAAUAUUACACAAUGGGCGGAAGCCUGAUGCAGCGACGCCGCGUGGGGGAUGACGGCCUCCGGGUUGUAAACUCCUUUCGACCGCGAGGAAGCCACCUGGUUGGAAGGGUGGUGACGGUAGUGGUAGAAGAAGCACCGGCUAACUACGUG